GGUGGCCGAAUGCUUACUCUAAUGGGCUGGCCCAUCCCUGAGUGUCUAGAGUUCCCAGCCCGCUUAAGGAAGGAAGGAAAACACAGGCAGCUCUAAGUGUACGACGAGAGAGGUCUCAUCGGCAGUGAGGAAGCCCAGGCGGGUCCCCUUCCCACCUGAAAGGGGUUCGGAAUUUCACUCUGUCGCCAGGCUGGAAUGCAGUAGGGCAAUCUCGGCUCACUGCAACCUCCACCUCCCGAGUUCAAGUGAUGCUCCUGCUUCAGCCUCCUGAGUAGCUGGGACUACAGCGGUGUCUGCUCCUGGCACCUCAGGCACUGUCAGGGGUAGGAGGUGGUGAUCAGAUACGCUCACUGUGAGCAGUGCAAGGGGAAGCAGGUGCCCAGAGGUGCAUCCCGGUUUGGUGGGGGUGACAAACAUGGACAGGUAAGUGCAGGAGUGUGUGCAAUACUCAAUCUAAGAAAGGUAGUUCAGGCAGAGUUCAGGGAAGAUAUCUCUGUGCAGGCCCAGACAUGGGGAUGAGAUUCUGAUAAUUUGG
rnacentral:sRNA from 1 species